rnacentral:rRNA from 1 species
AUUGAACGCUGGCGGCAGGCCUAACACAUGCAAGUCGAGCGGAGCGGCGGACGGGUGAGUAAUGCCUAGGAAUCUGCCUGGUCGUGGGGUUAACGUCCGGUAACUGGCGCUAAUACCGCAUACUAUCAGAUGAGCCUAGGUCGGAUUAGCUAGUUGGUGGGGUAAAGGCCUACCAAGGCGACGAUCCGUAACUGGUCUGAGAGGAUGAUCAGUAACACUGGAACUGAGAGACGGACCAGACUCCUACGGGAGGGAGCAGUGGGGAAUAUUGGACAAUGGGCGAAAGCCUGAUGCAGACAUGACGCGUGUGUGAAGAAGGUAGUCGGAGUGUAAAGCACGUUAAGUUGGGAGGCGUUACGAAAAGAAUAAGCACCGGCUAACUUCGUGCCAGCAGCCGCGGUAAUUC